UGACUAAGUUUUAUUUAGGAUUUGACUAGGAUUUAUUUGGAAUUUUAUCAAGAUUAAAUUAGGUUUUAUUUAAGAUUUGAUUAGAAUUUGGUUAGGAUUUAUUAAGGUUUGAUUAGGAUUCAAUUAAAAUUUGAUUAGGAUUUGAUUAGGAUUUGAUCAAGAUUUGACCAAGAUUUGAUUAGGAUUCAAUUAAAAUUUGAUUAGGAUUUGAUUAGGGUUUGAUCAAGAUUU
rnacentral:lncRNA from 1 species